rnacentral:rRNA from 1 species
AUGACGACGCACGGAGAUGUUUUCAAGAUGAAGCUACUCAUGUACCUCAUCUCAUCUGUUUUCGCGCCGACCACUUCUCUUCGCCCAAGCAACAAAUGCUUCCCCAUCCUGGCGAAACUGAAAGAUGUGAAGAACAUGAACUGGUGUAAGUUCAUUGCCAACUUCCUGCAUGAUGCAUUUGCAAGCAAGGUGUACCAGAAGGGUUGUCGACUGCAUUUAAUGCUCAUGUACGUCGACUGCCUUGAUCUGUCCACCGUGGACUUCACUGGGACAGGAGGCCCGCCGCCUGCGCACAAGUUUGCUGUUUCUGCAUGGACUAUCGAUGCUGUCAAGGCUGUGCUUGCUGCAGACAGGCUGAUGGCCAAGCAUUCUAUAGACUACAGCGUGUUUGGGGGGCCUCAAAACUUUGAAAAGUGGAUGGACGUGCACUCAGCUCCGUCUUGUCCUUCAGAGGGCACCUAUUGA